rnacentral:Y_RNA from 1 species
GGCUGGUGCACAGGUGUAGUGAGUCGUCUCACUUGAUGGUUCACAGUCAGUUACAUAUGAACUAUUCAUUCUACUCUUUCCCCCCUUCUCACUACUGUACUUGACUAGUGAAAA